AGGUUACUGCUAUCGGUGUCCGCCUAAGCCAUGCGAGUCAUAUGCUCGUAAGAACAUGGCGUACUGCUCAGUAACACGUGGAUAACCUGCCCUUGGGUCCGGCAUAACCCCGGGAAACUGGGGAUAAUUCCGGAUAACGCACAUAUGCUGGAAUGCUUUCUGCGUAAAAUGGAUUCGUCUGCCCAAGGAUGGGUCUGCGGCCUAUCAGGUAGUAGUGGGUGUAAUGUACCUACUAGCCUACGACGGGUACGGGUUGUGAGAGCAAGAGCCCGGAGAUGGAUUCUGAGACAUGAAUCCAGGCCCUACGGGGCGCAGCAGGCGCGAAAACUUUACAAUGCGGGAAACCGUGAUAAGGGGACACCGAGUGCCAGCAUCCUAUGCUGGCUGUCCGGGUGUGUAAAAUACACCUGUUAGCAAGGGCCGGGCAAGACCGGUGCCAGCCGCCGCGGUAACACCGGCGGCCCGAGUGGUGAUCGUGAUUAUUGGGUCUAAAGGGUCCGUAGCCGGUUUGGUCAGUCCUCCGGGAAAUCUGACAGCUCAACUGUUAGGCUUUCGGAGGAUACUGCCAGACUUGGAACCGGGAGAGGUAAGAGGUACUACAGGGGUAGGAGUGAAAUCUUGUAAUCCCUGUGGGACCACCUGUGGCGAAGGCGUCUUACCAGAACGGGUUCGACGGUGAGGGACGAAAGCUGGGGGCACGAACCGGAUUAGAUACCCGGGGUAGUCCCAGCCGUAAACGAUGCUCGCUAGGUGUCAGGCAUGGCGCGACCGUGUCUGGUGCCGCAGGAAAGCCGUGAAGCGAGCCACCUGGGAAGUACGGCCGCAAGGCUGAAACUUAA
rnacentral:rRNA from 1 species